rnacentral:rRNA from 1 species
UACGUAGGCAGCGAGCGUUGUUCGGAGUUACUGGGCGUAAAGCGUGCGUAGGCGGUGUCUUAAGUUUGUUGUGAAAUCUCCCGGCUUAACCGGGAGGGUGCGGCGAAUACUGAGAUGCUGGAGUGCGGGAGAGGUAAGCGGAAUUCCUGGUGUAGCGGUGAAAUGCGUAGAUAUCAGGAGGAACACCUGCGGUGUAGACGGCUUACUGGACCGUAACUGACGCUGAGGCACGAAAGCGUGGGGAGCAAACAGG